UUGAUAGCUGCCUUGUCAUAAGCCCUGAUUUUUCCCACAAAAUUCAGAAAAAAAAGAUGCACAUGUAGUAGUCCCAAUACCAACACAUGGAGCUUCUACUUCGCUGUCGAACAGCCCAAGGUAUAUAUACCUGCAAUUGAAGCAUCGUAAUCUCCACGAUGAACAAAAAAACACACCACUGCUAAUAUCAUUCUCUCUUCUGUAAGUGUCAUCUUUAGGUUUCCAUUAUUUUUUCUAUUUGGCCAGAAUGCAAAAAGACUAUCAUGGAAACAAAGUCUAGUUUCAAUCAAUCACAGCAUUGAUGUUCCAUUUGAA